AUCUGAUAUACAUGCUGGCCGCAAGAUUCGCUAUUUUCACGCCAAAUUUCCUCUCAAACCUGGUCCUGCCCGGUGGGCCUUCUUCAGGUGGGGGGUAAUGUCACGUAUUCAUCCGCUUACAAAAAUGUGGUUAAUGACAUUUACUGUCCACACAGGAAAAGUUGUGCCGAGCAACAACCAAAUCCACAGAAGGGUUAAUGCUGAGCAGCAA